AAGUCGUAACAAGGUUUCCGUAGGUGAACCUGCGGAAGGAUCAUUAUUGAAUACGUUUGGUUCUGAUGCUGGCUCUUCACUGAGCAUGUGCUCGAUCCAUAACUAUUUAUCUUCUCUUGUGCACCUUUUGUAGUCUUUCAAAGAAGUGAUAACUCCUCGCAGUAAUGCGGUUUGGGGGACUUGGGCGUGAGCCCUUCCCCUGCUUUUGCUUUUUUCGAAGGGCUAUGUUUUCAUAUACACUAUAAAGUUACGGAAUGUCUUUUAAAGAUUGUGCUAGUCGCAGUCAUUAAACCUAUACAACUUUCAGCAACGGAUCUCUUGGCUCUCCCAUCGAUGAAGAACGCAGCGAAAUGCGAUAAGUAAUGUGAAUUGCAGAAUUCAGUGAAUCAUCGAAUCUUUGAACGCACCUUGCGCCCUUUGGUAUUCCGAAGGGCAUGCCUGUUUGAGUGUCAUUAAAUUCUCAACCCAAAAAGCUUUUACUAGCUCUUUUGUGGCUUGGAUGUGGGGGUUUUUGCUGGCUUCCUUCAGUGGAUGGUCUGCUCCCCUUAAAUACAUUAGUGGGAUCUCUUGUGGACCGUCACUUGGUGUGAUAAUUAUCUAUGCCAGUUGACUUUGAAGCAAAACUUAUGGGAACCCGCUCAUAACCGUCUUCGGACAACUUAUUGACAUUUUGACCUCAAAUCAGGUAGGACUACCCGCUGAACUUAA
rnacentral:rRNA from 1 species